GAAAAACCAAUGAAAAUAAUGGAAGGAUCCCUCUUCAGUGCCCAAUUCUGUUUUGUGGAAAACUUUCAUAAAAGUGGCCAGAUGACAGAUAUGGAAUAUGUUGUAAUCAGCAGAUGGUUUGAUUGGAUUCGCAAAUCACAUGACCUGAACAUUGGACUUACUGUGUAUCUCCAGACAACACCGGAAGUUGUUUAUCAGAGAAUCAAAACAAGGGAUCGACCAGGAGAAAACAGGGAUUACAAUGGAGCAUCUUUGGGCUCUUCAUGAACUACACGAAGACUGGCUAGUUAGGAGAAAGAGAAAGAUUCCGAGGGACAGUCAUGUCAUGGUUAUAGAUGGACAUCAAGACACCGAAAUCAUUGUUAAGCUGUUUUUGAAUAUGCUGAGCACUUUAGGAGAGGAAAUGUACACAAACGUGUACGGCGUUUAGAUAAAUAUACAAAGGAGUGUGCGUGGAUAUAAAACAAUGGCUAAAACCUGUGUACGAGGAUUAGAUGUUCCAUGUAUUCUGUAAACAUAGUAGCAAAUCGAGGUUGUAAAUCUAGUACAGGAAUAUGUCUGCAUCCAAUUAGUAACGCAAUUUGCUUGAUCCAUUCGUUAGUUUUCUUAUCCUGCAGGCCAACCUUUAAACAAUAUCCAUGACGUUGAACGUGGAGAGUGUAUGGUAGUUAGGUCCCCUGGGUUCGACUCCAGUGACCUCUUCCAAUUGAUGGACCUGGGCUUCAGGUUAAUUAAGGAAGAGACAUGAAUUUUAGCUGCAGGAAAAUUGUCAGUUUCGAAUUCGUUAGAUAUUGUGUUGAGAUAUUUAUGUUACUAUGUUAAUUAAAGUUUAUGUACUAUGUUGAAGGAUUUGUGCAUAUUUAUAUAUUGUAUUGAAAGAUUAGAUUU